rnacentral:rRNA from 1 species
GUAGCUAGAGGUGAAAUUCUUAGACCUACUAAAGACGAACUACUGCGAAAGCAUCUGCCAAGGAUGUUUUCAUUAAUCAAGAACGAAAGUUAAGGGAUCGAAGACGAUCAGAUACCGUCGUAGUCUUAACCAUAAACGAUGCCGACUA